GGCUGGUUUGUUUGAAGGCUGAGCAGAUGGGGAUAGCUGCUGGGUUUGGAGGAUGUGGAGAAAUUUGCGUGAAUAUCUGGCAUCAAUUUUUGUCAAGACACAGCUGAAGUCACACAGAAAUUAUGCCGAAUGCAGUGAAAUCACAAGGAUGCUUAUAUAGUGGUUCAUUCUGGAACUCAGGAUUCACAAAAACAUGAUUUGGAUCUUAAUUCUUCAGGUGGAAUCCCAGGGAUUUCCAUUACCAAGUUUCAUUUACUUUGUCAUUCUUUAUUUCUGUGCAUUUUUUUUCUAUACAGUUUGAGUUAAAUCUCCACAAGUCAUCUAUUUCGUAUGAUCCCUCACAGUUCCAUUUACCUGUGGGUCAGUGGUGAAUUCAUGAGAAAAUACUGGUUUGUCAGAAUGUUAUUUAUUGGUCCUGACUGAAAAUAAGCACCAUGCUACUAAGACAAACAGUGGCGGUUUGAAUCUUGACACAGGAUUCAAUGGAAGAAGGAAGAUCCGGAUUGAUGUCUCUGACUGGUCUCAUUCACAUCUGAGCUCUGACCUGGAAUCUUGUUUAUCACACUGUUUUCUGACAACUGCAGUUAUUAAAGAGUCCAUUCCAUCUUGCCAUAGGGGGAUUGACUGUUGUUUGUGCAUGCGAGUUCACAUGGACUUCUCCCUGGGUAGCAUCUCUGGCCUUACCUCAUUGCAGUGAGCUUGCAUGAGUGCAGCACCCAGGACCAAAACAUUUGCACAGCCUGUUUUUUUUUAAUUAUAAAUUUAUUAUUACCAUUAUUAUUUAAAUAAAAUAUUGUAUCCAAA
rnacentral:lncRNA from 7 species